AUUGAACGCUGGCGGCAGGCCUAACACAUGCAAGUCGAACGAGUGGCGGACGGGUGAGUAAUGUCUGGGAAACUGCCUGAUGGAGGGGGAUAACUACUGGAAACGGUAGCUAAUACCGCAUACCAUCAGAUGUGCCCAGAUGGGAGUAGCUAGUUGGUGGGGUAACGGCACACCCAGGCGCAGAUCCCUAGCUGGUCUGAAAGGAUGACCAGCCACACUGGAACUGAGACACGGUCAAGACUCCUACGGGAGGCAGCAGUGGGGAAUAUUGCACAAUGGGCGCAAGCCUGAUGCAGCCAUGCCGCGUGUAUGAAGAAGGCCUUCGGGUUGUAAAGUACUUUCAGCGGGGAGGCGUUACCCGCAGAAGAAGCACCGGCUAACUCCGUGCCAGCAGCCGCGGUAAUAC
rnacentral:rRNA from 1 species